GGGAUAAUAACAGCAUCUACCUUACAGGAUUGUUGUGAGGAUCGAAUGAGAUCACAUUUGUAAAACACUUUGAAAACC
rnacentral:snoRNA from 1 species